ACACCGACUGCUGCUGCUGCUGGCGGUGGCGGAGAGGGCUUUCAUCUUUCAGUCCCGGAUCUUCCUGAAACUAAAACCCUGCUCACUAACACUUGGACGCAAUUCUGCAGAAAUGAACUGAAUACCAUAUUAUCUCUCUCUUAAACAAGGUGGGUAUUAAUUGUUAUUAAUGAAUAAUAUGAAAGUGGUAAACAAAUUGUUUUAUAUAUUCAUUGAUGUUUGCUUAUUAUUAGAAUUACUUUAAAAAUUAUUGUUAACAUUGUUUUUUUACUAUUAUUGGAUUCCAGAAAAUUAAAAAGAAAGUUAAUUUAAAGUGAAAGAGUGGACAGAAACGAAUCUAAGCGCCAAAUUGAUUCAUUCGGUGGACCAUGCAUCAACCUGCCACCUCUAGAGGAUGUUCGUCCCCUCGAUCAGUCGAUGAAUCAUCUGUAACUAAAUUCAUAUUUUUCUCUCUACUUCUUAAUUCUAAUAUAUAUUUGAUUUUUUAGUUUGUUGUUCUUUCACAAAAAAAAAAAAGAAAAAGAAAACUGUCAUUGUUAACACUAUUUUUUUUUUCCUUCUCAUUUCUGAUGUAAUUUCAAUUGAUUAAAUAUUCCUUUUAGCUCAUUAUAUUAAAUGUAUAAGCUAGCACUUUACUGUAUUUUGUUCAUGCAGAUAACAUCCCCGGGAACAUUUUCCACAGUAAUCACACGUGUUUAAAGGUAGAUCUAAUAUUGAAUGUGUGUGUGUAUGUAUAUAUAUAAUUAUGUUCAGUUUAUAAUGAGGCUUUUAUAAUUCAACUAAUUAAAGCCCGUAUAAUUAAUAUAUUACGUGGCUAGACUAUAUUGAAGCGUAAAACCAAGUUUAUUAUUGUUUAAUGCAAUGAAGCUUUCUCCUCUUAAACUGUUUUAUAUAUCUAUUGAAAACUUAAAAGAAAUGAAAUCUUAGUUUCCCUCCUAACCUCUACCUGUCAGACAAACCAGAGAAGCUCACCUAUUUAACCUAAAAUUUCUCGAUUGAUUUAUCGAUUUCUGUCAUAUAACUCGCAUAUAACUUUUCUCUCUCUCUCUCAUCUCAUUUAAACACGUUUCAUUCAUCUCUACCAUAAUUUCUUUUACAAAUAAUUAAAUAUGCGUGUGUGUGUAAAAGUGAUUUUAUCUAAUUGUAGAUUUAGAAACAAGAACCCUAACAAUCUUGAGACCGCAUUAAUUAUUUCUUUAAGCCGGAGUGUUAAUGAAUUUGUUAAAUUAUUAACUGGACAAAGCAACAAAUUAUUGUUUGAAAAGAGAUUUCGUUUAUGUUGGAUUAUGAUGACCAAUUAUCUUGAAAUUAGAUCGGAAUUUUCCUAAAGGUUUAUUCAUUCAUUGAGGCAAAAUAGGGAAGCCUUAAGUGUGUGCGUGUAAUAUACAUAUUUAUAAGUAGUUGAGUCGUAGUGACCAAUGGUUUCACGUACACCGGACAUAGUAAACGAAUCCGGACUAGUCACUUAUCAGAAUUUUGUUAAUUUCUAUUUAAAGAAUCAGACUUUAAAAAUAUUAAAAAAAAAAAUUUUUUUUUGAUGUAACAUCGGUCUAUGACCGUCUUAGCCAUGUUUGUGUGUGUGUUGUAAAGUUAAUAAAAAGUUUAAAUUUUAUUUAAGGUAUUUUUCCGACAUCGGUAAAAGUAUUUUUGUCUGUAAACCGAGAAAAUUGGUUUCAAGUUUUCGGAAUCGCUAAUUUCUAAAUAUUUGUGGAAAUACUUUAUCUCACAAAUGUCAGUGCAGAUCGAUAUGAAAUUUCAUCAUCAAUAUCCGUUGAUGAUUGAUAGAUAUCUACUAUGUAACGGAAGCAUAUUCACUUAAAGUUUGGAUAUUCACUCGUUAUUUGACGCUUUGUUUUCAUUGCUCAAUAUAAAUAUCAGCUGUUAUAAUAUUGAAAAUGGGAUUGUGUUGUGAAGUUUAAAGCUGGGCCCUGGACAGGGGAAAAAAACCUAUCAAAUGCUGUUACCUACUUGUUGGAACAGUUUUAAGUGGCAACGUCUGUAGGAAUGGUAAUCGCAGAGAAUUUAUGACAAUAGUUACACUGAAAAGAUGCUUCUCUUUUUUUCUCCAUUCUUCAGCUGAUAACACUAUUCUCUCCUGAUGUGAAUGGACGUUCAUUGCUCCACCUGUAUCAUCAGCCGCCAGUUUCAUUAACGGCUGACGUUCAAGGUCAGCUUGACCAUUUCUUUCCCAGCCCUACCACUCCAAUGGAGGGACGGGUGGCAGUCCUCCAUGUGGUCCCUCGACAUGCUAGAAAUAGGAGUUAAAUCUCUCAGAUUACACACCACUGUCUAAAGAAAAAACAAUUUGAUCAUGAUGGGGUCGGUGGGUUAAAUGAAUUGUCAUGGUUGGAAUGUCUUGCAGAGUUUUGAAUCCUACAUAUUCCUCUAGUUUGUCUGUCUCUGUCUGUCUUUCUUUCUGUCUAUCUAUCUGUCUUUCUUUCUGUCUAUCUAUCUACUUGUCUUUCUGUCUGUCUGUCUAUCUACUUGUCUUUCUGUCUAUCUAUCUAUCUAUCUAUCUAUCUAUCUAUCUAUCUAUCUAUCUAUCUAUCUAUCUGUCUCUCUGUCUGUCUGUCUGUCUCUCUCUUUCUCUCAAUCUAUAGCUAAUUAUUUCUGUGUCUACCUAUAUAAAGAAGAGACUUCUGAUUUUUUUUCUUCUUAUAUGCAAUGUUUUGAACAUCGGAGAUUCAGAAUCUAAAACAAAAUAUCUAAAUUUGAAUGUCUUCCAAGACUGACAAUAAUACUAACGCGGUGUGUCCUGUAAUAACGUGGCAUCCGGAUUAACCAUUUUGAUGCCGAUGAGAGAGAAUAAUCUGGCCACCGACUUCGGUUUCCAUUUUCUAUUAAAUAAUUAAAGCAUUGUAGUCGUUUCGUGAAUCCUCUCAGUGUAAUAUUAUAGCACCAAUAAUACAGACUCUUUCUGGGUAUAUUAUGAAAAAAUCCGGAUCAACCGGCGGCAUGGUGUCCUCAUAUUUUGUCGAAACAUGUGAGUCAGUAUUAUCAUGUGGCGGACUUGUCGCUAACUACAUGUUUUAAAAUCAUAUUGUUGGGUCUUCUUCACUUCAUGCUUUUUCAUAAUUUUUUUUAUCGUGUCCACUAAUGAGAUUGCUUUCAUUAAUUAUAGAAAGUGAAAUCAUUUGUACUAUUACUACAUCCAUUAUAUUAAUUACUGGAAAAAAGGGGCGAGCUGGCAGGCUCGUUAGCACGCCGGACUAAAAUGCUUAGCGGCAUUUCGUCCGUCGUUGCAUUCCGAGUUCAAAUUCCGUUGAGGUCGAUUUUGCCUUUCCAUCCUUUCGGAGUUGAUGAAAUUUGUACCAGUUGUACACUAGGGGCCGAUAUAAUCGGCUAAACCCUUCCAUCCCUCCCUU
rnacentral:lncRNA from 1 species